GACAAACGCUGGCGGGGUGCAUGAGACAUGCAAGUCGCACGGGGUUGAUCGGGCUUGCUCGAUCAACCUAGUGGCGAACGGCUGAGUAACGCGUAGGUGACCUACCCGGAAGUGGGGAAUAACUGCCCGAAAGGGUGGCUAAUACCGCAUGUGGUCGGCGAAUCAGAUCGCCGUCCAAAGCCGAAAGGCGCUUCCGGAGGGGCCUGCGUCCGAUUAGCUAGUUGGCGGGGUAACGGCUCACCAAGGCGACGAUCGGUAGCUGGUCUGAGAGGAUGAUCAGCCAGACUGGGACUGAGAACGGCCCAGACUCCUACGGGAGGCAGCAGUCGGGAAUUUUGCCCAAUGGACGAAAGUCUGAGGCAGCAACUCCGCGUGAGGGAUGAAGGCC
rnacentral:rRNA from 1 species